GUCAUUAAACAAUAAAGUAACACAUUAUAAUAGAAACUGGCUACAUACAUACAAAGGAAUGCAAGAAACAGAAGGUUCGCGAAAAGUAACGGGAUCUUGUGAAAUGGAUGUCAACAACAAAAAUGAGAUCGAGCAAUGUUCUGGGAGGCAGAUGGUGAGCGCCAGCAACAAUUUUUUUUUUUUUUGGAUAUAUUAAUUUAAAACUGUCCUUCGCGGACAAUCAUUAAAUUUGAUGACUAAACGACGGCGACCCGUUGACGGCGACAUUUGCACAUACAUACAAAGGAAUGCAAGAAACAGAAGGUUCGCGAAAAGUAACGGGAUCUUGUAAAAUGAAUGUCAACAACAAAAAUGAGAUCGAGCAAUGUUCUGAGAGGCAGAUGGUGAGCGCCAGCAACAAUGAGUCCAACAAAUGUUUCGCGAUCCCGAUGGCUAUCAACAAUGAUCCUGAGAUGCAAAUGGCUGGCAACAAUAAGCAGGAACAAUGUUUUGAAAACCAAAUGAUGCGCAACAAAGUAACUACGCAAGGCGGCGAUGUUCAAAUAAGGGCGAUGCUGAAAUAUGGCUGUAUUCAAGCACAAACGCUACCAUGGAGACAGCGGAUAAAAUGUUAAGCCACCUGGAGAAAAUGUUCGUAAUGUCCAAAGAGUCAAAGUUGAGUAUGCGGCUGAAGCUACAGAACUGCGUCUGGAUCAAAGGUGAGGAGUUCUCCAAGUAUUACAAUGAGAAGUGGCAGCUGGCAGAUAAUUUAGCACUGGCAGAAGAUGAAUUUUUGGAAUAUGUCAUUGACGGCAUACACGAUGUCAAUCUACGCAAUCUGGCUAAGUCGCGUUCGUUCAAGACCGGAUUGGAGCUUUUGGAUGCAUUCCGAAAUGUUGAGUUGGGCUACGUUCCUAAGCCCAAGUUACCAGAAGACCGUAGAGCAGGAGAUUAUUAGAAGCCACGAGCUAAUGCAGAGUGCUACAAUUGCCACAGUCGGGACCACCUGGCCAGAGAGUGCCGCAAGCCUAAAAGACAAUAUGGGGCUUGUUACGCAUUUGGCUUGCAUGGACAUGUGGCUAAAGAGUCCGACCAAUACAAGAAAUCGAAGGACGGAGACAACGAUUAUAAUGUCUCAUAGAUUCUGGCAGCCCGAUAAGUAUUAUUAAAAAACGUUUUAUACCAAGUCAAAUAAAAAUGGAAAAGACUACCUCUUUAAGUUACGUUGGAUUAAAUUUAAGUAAAUUAUGAAUACAUGGAAGCGUAAAAUGUUCAGUUAAGUUCUCAAAUAAAGAUACUCCUAUGUUACUAUAUGUCGUGGAUGAUGAAUCUAUGGGAUAUGCUAUAUUAUUGCGAAGGGAUUUUUUAACAAGAGUAAAGGCAAAAAUUGUAAUUGAAAAUGAACAUGAAAAAAUAUCUGAAAUUAAAAAAGAUUCGAUAGUUGAAGAAAAUUAAAAUAAAAAUAAAGAAUUUAAAAGUCAUUAUGAGACAAACGCAGACGAAGAAAAUAAUUUUUAAAAACAACUAUUAAUUAAAGAUUACAAUGAUAAUGAAAUGGUAUAUGAGAUAGGUUCACAAUUAAAUUUUAAACAAAGAUGCGAAUUUAUAAAUGUUAUUGAAGAAUAUUACAAUAAACCAAAAAGACCGAGUGAACCGAAUAUAAAAUGUGAAAUGAAGCCAAGGUUAGAAGAAGACGAGCCCUUUAGUUUUUCGCCAAGGCGCCUGGCAUAUGUAGAGAAUGAAAAAUUACAAGAAAUCCUUGAUGAUUAUUUAAAAGUUGGUAUUAUACGACAAAGUGAGUCUGAGUAUUGCUCGCCAAUUGUAUUGGUAAAAAAGAAAUUGGGUGGCAUUCGGAUGUGCAUAGAUAGGAAACUAAAUAGGAUCACGGUGAAAGUUAGAUACCCGAUGCCAUUAUUUUCAUUUAUUAGAUACCCUAGAAAACAAAGUUGUGUUCUCGAAGUUAGACCUGAAAAAUUGAUACUUCCAUUUUUAUAUGGACGAAGAAUCGAUAAAGUAUACAUCAUUUACCACGCCACUAGGAAAGUAUGAGUUCACAAGAAUGACCUUUGGGCCGACAAAUGCUCCGUCUGUUUUUUUUUUUUUGGCGACAUGAUUAGGGAAGAGAAAGUGAUAGUUUAUCUCGAUGACAUAAUGGUAGCGAUUAUCAUAGUAUAUGAGCGAUUAGUUAAAAACAAAUUAGAGCUGCGAAUCGAUAAAUGAAUGUUUUUCCAAUGUGAAUUGAAAUAUUUAGGAUAUAUAAUAUCAGAAAAGUGUAUUAAAGCAGAUGACGACGGUGUGAAAGCAACUGAAACUUUUCCCGUGCCACAAAAAGUUCAUGAUGUUCAAAGUUUUUUGGGGAUGUGCUGUUAAAAACGCCUACAGAAUUGCAUUGCGAUGCAAGUUCGAUAGGAUUCGGAUCAAUCCUUUUGCAAAGGAAAGCAGAUGGUAAGCUACAUCCAAUUUUUUACAUCUCAAAAAGGACAACGAAUACAGAAUCAAGGUAUCAUAGUUUUGAACUGGAAACACAGGCGGUAAUAUAUGCGUUAAAAAGGUUUAGAGUGUACCUUCAAGGAAUUGAGUUCAAAAUAGUAACAGACUGUAAUUCCCUCACAAUGACGUUGAACAAAAAAGAGUUGAACCCAAGAAUAGCAAGAUGGGCCUUGGAAUUACAGAAUUAUUAAUAUAAACUAGAACAUAGAUCAGGAACUAGAAUUAAGCACGUUGAUUCUAUUAGUAGAUGUAAUACGAUUUUGGUAAUAGAGGAAAAUACGUUCCAGGAAAAUUUAGUUAUAUGCCAAAACAGAGACGAGAAGUUGAGAAAGAUUAAAGAAAUGCUAUGUAAAGAAGAAAGCGAAUUAUAUGAAAUGCGAAAUGGUGUGAUUUACAAAAAAGUAAAAGAUAAGUUAUUGUUCUAUGUCCCGGAAGCUAUGGAAGAACACGUAUUGUAUAAAUACCACAAUGAGUUAGGCCAUGUAGGGAAAGACAAAGUUACGGAAAUGGUCGGUAAAAGUUAUUGGUUUCCAAAUGUUAGAAGUAAAGCAGAUGAACAUGUUAAGAACUGCCUAAAAUGUAUAGCUUUUCAAGGAAGAAAUGGUAAGCAAGAAGGAACUAUUAAUAUUGUACCAAAGGGAAAUACACCAUUUGAAGUCAUACAUAUAGAUCACUAUUGUCCGGUAAAUCAAAAUAAUUCUACCAAAAAACAUGUAUUAGUAAUUGUUGAUGGAUGCACAAAGUUUGUGAGAUUGUAUCCAGCGAAAUCAACAAGCUCAAAAGAAGCAAUGGAAGCCUUAAGUGAUAAUUUUAGAGCGUAUUGUUUCACGACCAUUGUUCCAGACAGAGGGACAUGUUUUACAUCAGAUAUGUUCGAAGAAUUUUUGGAAUAGAGAAAUAUUAAGCACGUCAAAAUGGCAACAGGCUCACCACAAGAAAAUGGACAAGUUUAGCGAAAAAAUAGAGACUUAGGACCCAUGAUUAGUAAGCUCGUAGAUGUAGAAAAGAACGUACAGUGGCACAAAGUUUUGGAAGAAGUAGAGUAUGCAAUGAAUAAUACAAAGCACAGAAGCAUAAAUGAACACCCAGUAUAAUGCUGUUUGGAGUGAAUCAAAAAGGAAAAAGGCUAGCUUUUUUAAAAGAUAAUGUAUUGGAGUCAAGGCUAGAAAGAAAAUAAAUUAAUUUAGAGAAAAUUAUAAAAAAUGCAGAAGUUUCGCAGGAAAAAGUACAGAACUAUAACAAGAAAUAUGUUGACGCUAAACGAUUAAAAGCAAAUAAAUACAAAUUAGGAGACUACGUUGUGGUCAAGAAUUUUGAUUCAACAGUUGGAGCGUCUAGGAAAUUAAUAUCCAAAUAUAAAGGCCCCUAUGGAAUCGCCAAAGUACUAGAUAAUGUAUGUAUGUAUUGUAUCAAAGAUGUGGAAUGUUUUCAGUUGACACAAAAACCAAACGAAGGAAUAUGGGCGGCUCAUAAUAUUAAACCAUGGCUUCGAGAAAAGAAUUCGGUGUCAAAUAAUAAAAAUACAGAUAAGUAAAAUGAUAAAGAAAAACAAAAGUUUAAAGUAAAUGUAAAAAAGAAAACCAAACAAAAUGUAACAAAUACUGAAAUAAGUAACGAAAAUGAAACAAAUGUAAUGAUUACAAGUAGAGCAGCGAGGACCAGGAGAUCAGGAUGGCCGAGCUGUAGUAGUAGUAGUAGUAGUAAUUGUAUAUAAGUAUAGUAGUAUAAGCCCCAUUGCAAUAUUAGAAUGUGAGAACUAAUUAUAAGAGUCGCGAAUGUAAAUAGUAUAUACACACGUGCUGAACUACAUUUAUUCAGUCGUCAGUCAGUCGUCGUUGAGCUGUCACGGAGAGCACACUAAAAUUGAUAAUUUUACUUCGUUUAUUUUCGGAAACUCUUCAUGUUUUUUAACAGUCAACUUCUCCGACUUUCAGAUUCCCCUUACUAAUCUAGUAGAAAUGCAAAUGGUGAAUAAAAUGUGAAAAAUUUAAAA